GAUGAACGCUGGCGGCGUGCCUAAUACAUGCCAGUCGAGCGAACGGACGAGAAGCUUGCUUCUCUGAUGUUAGCGGCGGACGGGUGAGUAACACGUGGAUAACCUACCUAUAAGACUGGGAUAACUUCGGGAAACCGGAGCUAAUACCGGAUGAUAUUUUGAACCGCAUGGUUCAAAAGUGAAAGACGGUCUUGCUGUCACUUAUAGAUGGAUCCGCGCUGCAUUAGCUAGUUGGUAAGGUAACGGCUUACCAAGGCAACGAUGCAUAGCCGACCUGAGAGGGUGAUCGGCCACACUGGAGCUGAGACACGGUCCAGACUCCUACGGGAGGCAGCAGUAGGGAAUCUUCCGCAAUGGGCGAAAGCCUGACGGAGCAACGCCGCGUGAGUGAUGAAGGUCUUCGGAUCGUAAAACUCUGUUAUUAGGGAAGAACAUAUGUGUAAGUAACUGUGCACAUCUUGACGGUACCUAAUCAGAAAGCCCCGGCUAACUACGUG
rnacentral:rRNA from 1 species